rnacentral:rRNA from 1 species
AUACGAAGGGUCCUAGCGUUAAGCGGAAUCACUGGGCUUAAAGAGUGCGUAGGCGGACCCGCAAGUGCUUUGUGAAAUCCCACGGCUCAACCGUGGAACUGCGAGGUAUACUGCGGGUCUUGAGGUCGGUAGGGGCGGCUGGAACUCUUGGUGGAGCGGUGAAAUGCGUAGAUACCAAGAGGAACGCCAAAGGUGAAGACAAGCCGCUGGGCCGAUUCUGACGCUGAGGCACGAAAGCGUGGGGAGCGAACGGGAUUAGAAACCCCAGUAGUCC